rnacentral:rRNA from 1 species
UACGGGGGGGGCAAGCGUUGUUCGGAAUUACUGGGCGUAAAGGGCUCGUAGGUGGCCAACUAAGUCGGACGUGAAAUCCCUCGGCUUAACCGGGGAACUGCGUCCGAUACUGGUUGGCUUGAGUUUGGGAGAGGGAUGCGGAAUUCCAGGUGUAGCGGUGAAAUGCGCAGAUAUCAGGAGGAACACCGGUGGCGAAGGCGGGAUCCUGGGCCAGUACUGACGCUGAGGAGCGAAAGCGUGGGGAGCAAACAGG